AGAGUUUGAUUCUGGCUCAGGAUGAACGCUAGCUACAGGCUUAACACAUGCAAGUCGAGGGGAAACGACAUCGAAAGCUUGCUUUUGAUGGGCGUCGACCGGCGCACGGGUGAGUAACGCGUAUCCAACCUGCCCACCACUUGGGGAUAACCUUGCGAAAGUAAGACUAAUACCCAAUGACGUCUCUAGAAGACAUCUGAAAGAGAUUAAAGAUUUAUCGGUGAUGGAUGGGGAUGCGUCUGAUUAGCUUGUUGGCGGGGUAACGGCCCACCAAGGCAACGAUCAGUAGGGGUUCUGAGAGGAAGGUCCCCCACAUUGGAACUGAGACACGGUCCAAACUCCUACGGGAGGCAGCAGUGAGGAAUAUUGGUCAAUGGACGAGAGUCUGAACCAGCCAAGUAGCGUGCAGGAAGACGGCCCUAUGGGUUGUAAACUGCUUUUAUAAGGGAAUAAAGUGAGUCUCGUGAGACUUUUUGCAUGUACCUUAUGAAUAAGGACCGGCUAAUUCCGUGCCAGCAGCCGCGGUAAUACGGAAGGUCCGGGCGUUAUCCGGAUUUAUUGGGUUUAAAGGGAGCGUAGGCCGGAGAUUAAGCGUGUUGUGAAAUGUAGAUGCUCAACAUCUGAACUGCAGCGCGAACUGGUUUCCUUGAGUACGCACAAAGUGGGCGGAAUUCGUGGUGUAGCGGUGAAAUGCUUAGAUAUCACGAAGAACUCCGAUUGCGAAGGCAGCUCACUGGAGCGCAACUGACGCUGAAGCUCGAAAGUGCGGGUAUCGAACAGGAUUAGAUACCCUGGUAGUCCGCACGGUA
rnacentral:rRNA from 1 species